rnacentral:rRNA from 1 species
UACGAAGGGGGCUAGCGUUGCUCGGAAUCACUGUGCGUAAAGCGCACGUAGGCGGCUUUUCAAGUCAGGGGUGAAAUCCUGGAGCUCAACUCCAGAACUGCCUUUGAUACUGAAGAGCUCGAGUCCGGGAGAGGUGAGUGGAACUGCGAGUGUAGAGGUGAAAUUCGUAGAUAUUCGCAAGAACACCAGUGGCGAAGGCGGCUCACUGGCCCGGUACUGACGCUGAGGUGCGAAAGCGUGGGGAGCAAACAGG